GGUGAAGCCUACAAUGAGUUUGCGCGCACCGAGACGGUCCAACGCUGAUGGUCUAUCGGAGAACGUUCUCAAAGCGAUUCUGGAGCCAGCAGCAGCGUAUAUGGUAAUAAAUUUGUGUUCUAAAAGGAAAGGACGCAAGAACAUAUUUUUUCAGGCAGAAACACAAAAAAUGAAGGAAGAGGGGAAUGAGAAUGGAGGCAGCGAGAACACAAACAUUGAUCGUGAGUGAGGAGUUUAAUGCUUUAUAAUCAUAGGCUUCGUCGUUGACUAUGACAACGACGAUAAAGAUGCUUUUCAAUCAUAAAACAACGAUAAAACAUAAUUUUUUGAGAACAAUUUUUGUGUUUUCAGAACGAAACCAGCUACUUCAACAAGCAUCUCAACGUGGAAGUAUCGGAAGUUUUCUGGAUACGACUUCAUUAUCGACAUGUAGUAAG
rnacentral:sRNA from 1 species